rnacentral:rRNA from 1 species
CCUACGGGGGGCAGCAGUGAGGAAUAUUGGUCAAUGGCCGGAAGGCUGAACCAGCCAUGCCGCGUGAAGGUCAGUGCCCUAUGGGCGUUAAACUUCUUUUGUGCGGGAGCAAUAAUGGUCACGUGUGGCCAGACGAGAGUACCGUACGAAUAAGCAUCGGCUAACUCCGUGUCAGCAGCCGCGGUAAUACGGGGGAUGCAAGCGUUAUCCGGAUUUAUUGGGUUUAAAGGGUGCGUAGGCUGUGAGGUAAGUCAGCGGUGAAAUGCCCCCGCUCAACGGGGUGAAGUGCCAUUGAUACUGCCUGGCUGGAAUGCGGAUGCCGUGGGAGGAAUGUGUGGUGUAGCGGUGAAAUGCAUAGAUAUCACACAGAACACCGAUUGCGAAGGCAUCUCACGAAUCCGCGAUUGACGCUGAUGCACGAAAGCGUGGGUAUCAAACAGGAUUAGAUACCCUUGUAGUC